rnacentral:rRNA from 1 species
GAUGAACGCUGGCGGCGUGCCUAAUACAUGCGAGUCGAGCGAACGGACGAGAAGCUUGCUUCUCUGAUGUUAGCGGCGGACGGGUGAGUAACACGUGGAUAACCUACCUAUAAGACUGGGAUAACUUCGGGAAACCGGAGCUAAUACCGGAUAAUAUUUUGAACCGCAUGGUUCAAAAGUGAAAGACGGUCUUGCUGUCACUUAUAGAUGGAUCCGCGCUGCAUUAGCUAGUUGGUAAGGUAACGGCUUACCAAGGCAACGAUGCAUAGCCGACCUGAGAGGGUGAUCGGCCACACUGGAACUGAGACACGGUCCAGACUCCUACGGGAGGCAGCAGUAGGGAAUCUUCCGCAAUGGGCGAAAGCCUGACGGAGCAACGCCGCGUGAGUGAUGAAGGUCUUCGGAUCGUAAGACUCUGUUAUUAGGGAAGAACAUAUGUGUAAGUAACUGUGCACAUCUUGACGGUACCUAAUCAGAAAGCCACGGCUAACUACGUG